UACGAAGGGGGCUAGCGUUGUUCGGAAUUACUGGGCGUAAAGCGCACGUAGGCGGACAUUUAAGUCAGGGGUGAAAUCCCGGGGCUCAACCCCGGAACGGCCUUUGAUACUGGGUGUCUUGAGUUCGGAAGAGGUGAGUGGAAUUGCGAGUGUAGAGGUGAAAUUCGUAGGUAUUCGCAGGAACACCAGUGGCGAAGGCGGCUCACUGGUCCGAUACUGACGCUGAGGUGCGAAAGCGUGGGGAGCAAACAGG
rnacentral:rRNA from 1 species